rnacentral:rRNA from 1 species
GACGAACGCUGGCGGCGUGCUUAACACAUGCAAGUCGAACGAAGUGGCGAACGGGUGAGUGACGCGUAAUCAACCUGCCCUUCAGAGGGGAACCACCGUUAGAAAAGACUGCUAAUACCGAAUACUGAAGGUGGGGAUUGCGUCUGAUUAGGUAGUGGGAGGGGUAACGGCCACCCAAGGCGAUGAUCAGUAGCCGGUCUGAGAGGAUGAACGGCCACAUUGGGACUGAGAAACGGCCCAGACUCCUACGGGAGGCAGCAGUGGGGAAUCUUCCGCAAUGGACGAAAGUCUGACGGAGCAACGCCGCGUGAGUGAUGACGGCCUUCGGGUUGUAAAGCGCUGUUAAUCGGGACGCGGUACCGGAAUAGAAAGCCACGGCUAACUACGUGCCAGCAGCCGCGGUAAUAC